rnacentral:rRNA from 1 species
GUACACGCUGUGACUAGCAUAUCAAUAAGCGGAGGAAAAGAAACUAACAAGGAUUCCCCUAGUAACGGCGAGUGAAGCGGGAAGAGCUCAAAUUUGAAAUCUUAAAGGGUUUCCCUUUACGAAUUGUAGUUUAAAGAAGUGUUUUCUGUUGAGGUUUUGGUAAAAGUUCUUUGGAAUAGGACAUCAUAGAGGGUGAGAAUCCCGUAUUUGACCUUUACUUUCAACUUUGUGAUACACUUUCAAAGAGUCGGAUUGUUUGGGAAUGCAGUCCAAAAUGGGUGGUAAAUUUCAUCUAAAGUUAAAUAUUGGCGAGAGACCGAUAGCGAACAAGUACCGUGAGGGAAAGAUGAAAAGAACUUUGAAAAGAGAGUUAAACAGUACGUGAAAUUGUCAAAAGGGAAGCGUUUGACACCAGUGUUGUUUUCUGAAAAUCAAUUAAAGAACUGUUUAUGCUAAGUUGUUUAGACUUUAUCAGCUAACUGUUUAGUUUUGAGCUUUUCUUUAAUGCACUUUUCAGUUAACAAGUCAACAUCAAUUUCUUUUGCUGUAAAAAAGCUUGAGGAAGGUGGCUUGAGAUUCGUCUUAAGUGUUUAUAGCCUCUUGCCUAUGCAGUCGGAGAGAUUGAGGUCUGCAGCGUAGAUCCUUCGGGGCUAAAUGCAUUUGUGCUAAGUUAUAGCAUUUUAUAGACAACUUGUUGACUAUGAUUUGUCUUGUAGCUUACUCGCUUAUGUUAUUUUACCUACGCUUAGGAUGUUGAGUCGUAGAGCACGCAG